rnacentral:rRNA from 1 species
GGUUAAUGCUAGCGGUGCGCCUAACACAUGCAAGUCGAACGGCAGCGGGGACUUCGGUCCGCCGGCGAGUGGCGAACGGGUGAGUAAUGUAUCGGAACGUACCAUUGAGUGGGGGAUAACGUAGCGAAAGUUACGCUAAUACCGCAUAUUCUCUCCGGAGGAAAGCAGGGGACCGCAAGGCCUUGCGCCCUUUGAGCGGCCUAUAUCAGAUUAGCUAGUUGGUGAGGUAAAAGCUCACCAAGGCGACGAUCUGUAGCGGGUCUGAGAGGAUGAUCCGCCACACUGGAACUGAGACACGGUCCAGACUCCUACGGGAGGCAGCAGUGGGGAAUUUUGGACAAUGGGGGCAACCCUGAUCCAGCCAUGCCGCGUGAGUGAAGAAGGCCUUCGGGUUGUAAAGCUCUUUCGGCCGGGAAAAAAUCGCAUGGGUUAAUACCCUGUGUGGAUGAUGGUACCGGAAUAAGAAGCACCGGCUAACUACGUGCCAGCCGCCGCAGUAA